AAACUUACCUGGCGCCGGGUUCAGGGCGAUCAGCAAGGCUCUGGCCCCAGGUGGAGGCUCAGCAUUGCACUCCGCUGUGUUGAAGCCUGCGACAGACUCUAAUUGGGUUCGCUCGGGUGCGUAGUUUUUGCCAGUGGGGAGCCUUUGGGCAUCCCUU
rnacentral:snRNA from 1 species